rnacentral:rRNA from 1 species
UACGAAGGGUGCAAACGUUGCUCGGAAUUAUUGGGCGUAAAGCGCACGUAGGCGGCUUUGCAAGUCCCAUGUGAAAUCCCACGGCUUAACCGUGGAAGUGCAUGGGAAACUGCAGAGCUUGAGUACUUAAGAGGAUCGCGGAAUUCCCGGUGUAGAGGUGAAAUUCGUAGAUAUCGGGAGGAACACCAGUGGCGAAGGCGGCGAUCUGGGAAGAUACUGACGCUGAGGUGCGAAAGCGUGGGUAGCAAACAGG